rnacentral:rRNA from 1 species
UGCUUAACACAUGCAAGUCGAACGGUGAAGGUGGGAGCUUGCUCCUACUGGAUCAGUGGCGAACGGGUGAGUAACACGUGAGUAACCUGCCCCAGACUCUGGAAUAACCCCGGGAAACCGGAGCUAAUACCGGAUACGAGACGAAGCUGCAUGGCUAUCGUCUGGAAAGUUUUUCGGUCUGGGAUGGACUCGCGGCCUAUCAGCUUGUUGGUGAGGUAACGGCUCACCAAGGCGACGACGGGUAGCCGGCCUGAGAGGGCGACCGGCCACACUGGGACUGAGACACGGCCCAGACUCCUACGGGAGGCAGCAGUGGGGAAUAUUGCACAAUGGGCGCAAGCCUGAUGCAGCGACGCCGCGUGAGGGAUGACGGCCUUCGGGUUGUAAACCUCUUUCAGCAGGGAAGAAGCGAAAGUGACGGUACCUGCAGAAGAAGCACCGGCUAACUACGUGCCAGCAGCCGCGGUAAUACGUAGGGUGCGAGCGUUGUCCGGAAUUAUUGGGCGUAAAGAGCUUGUAGGCGGUUUGUCGCGUCUGCCGUGAAAAUUCGAGGCUCAACCUCGAACUUGCGGUGGGUACGGGCAGACUAGAGUGUGGUAGGGGAGACUGGAAUUCCUGGUGUAGCGGUGAAAUGCGCAGAUAUCAGGAGGAACACCGAUGGCGAAGGCAGGUCUCUGGGCCACUACUGACGCUGAGAAGCGAAAGCAUGGGGAGCGAACAGGAUUAGAUACCCUGGUAGUCCAUGCCGUAAACGUUGGGAACUAGGUGUGGGUCUCAUUCCACGAGAUCCGUGCCGCAGCUAACGCAUUAAGUUCCCCGCCUGG